rnacentral:lncRNA from 1 species
UCUUUCACUAUUUUAUACAAAUUGGUAGCCUCUACCUCUAAUUCAAAGAAUUACCUUAAUUUUUUAGUGGGUACUAGAAUCUACACAGACCGCAUAUAGGCCCGAAGAUGGCUCGAUCAAUCCAUAUACACCUAUGGAUAGGUUCUCAACCAAUUGUUUCUCCAAAUAACUUCUAGUAAUUAAUUUAACCCCAGAUUUCAUUUCAGUAGGUGAUGGGCCUGCACUGGAAGUUUCGAUUAAGUCAAACAAUUAACAUGAACCUACUCAGUGAUUCUACAUAAUGAGUGAUC